UACGAGGGGGGCAAGCGUUGUCCGGAAUUAUUGGGCGUAAAGAGCUCGUAGGCGGCUUGUCACGUCGGGUGUGAAAGCCCGGGGCUUAACCCCGGGUCUGCAUUCGAUACGGGCUAGCUAGAGUGUGGUAGGGGAGAUCGGAAUUCCUGGUGUAGCGGUGAAAUGCGCAGAUAUCAGGAGGAACACCGGUGGCGAAGGCGGAUCUCUGGGCCAUUACUGACGCUGAGGAGCGAAAGCGUGGGGAGCGAACAGG
rnacentral:rRNA from 1 species